GACGAACGCUGGCGGCGUGCCUAAUACAUGCAAGUAGAACGCUGAAGGAGGAGCUUGCUUCUUCGGAUGAGUUGCGAACGGGUGAGUAACGCGUAGGUAACCUACCUGGUAGCGGGGGAUAACUAUUGGAAACGAUAGCUAAUACCGCAUAACAGUAGAUGUUGCAUGACAUUUGCUUAAAAGGUGCAAUUGCAUCACUACCAGAUGGACCUGCGUUGUAUUAGCUAGUUGGUGGGGUAACGGCUCACCAAGGCGACGAUACAUAGCCGACCUGAGAGGGUGAUCGGCCACACUGGGACUGAGACACGGCCCAGACUCCUACGGGAGGCAGCAGUAGGGAAUCUUCGGCAAUGGACGGAAGUCUGACCGAGCAACGCCGCGUGAGUGAAGAAGGUUUUCGGAUCGUAAAGCUCUGUUGUAAGAGAAGAACGAGUGUGAGAGUGGAAAGUUCACACUGUGACGGUAUCUUACCAGAAAGGGACGGCUAACUACGUGCCAGCAGCCGCGGUAAUACGUAGGUCUCGAGCGUUGUCCGGAUUUAUUGGGCGUAAAGCGAGCGCAGGCGGUUAGAUAAGUCUGAAGUUAAAGGCUGUGGCUUAACCAUAGUACGCUUUGGAAACUGUUUAACUUGAGUGCAAGAGGGGAGAGUGGAAUUCCAUGUGUAGCGGUGAAAUGCGUAGAUAUAUGGAGGAACACCGGUGGCGAAAGCGGCUCUCUGGCUUGUAACUGACGCUGAGGCUCGAAAGCGUGGGGAGCAAACAGG
rnacentral:rRNA from 1 species